UUGCAGGACUUCUCGUGGGCGGCUCCCUUCCUAUGGAAUAGCCUGCCUACCACCAUCAGGCUCUCCUCUAGUCUUCAAUCCUUUAAGUGCCUUAAAACCCAUCUCUUUAGGAAAGCUUAUGGCUUCCCAGAGUAACCUCUACCAUGCAUACCUGUCUCUUGCUCUCUCCUACAGGGCAGCACUCUACUCUCUCCUCCAGCUCUGCUUCACUCCCACCUUAUUUGAUUGAUAUUUCCUGUCCUUAUGUGUUUUAUACCCCACCUCCUAUAGACUGUAAGCUCGUUU